rnacentral:rRNA from 1 species
GAACGGGAUGAGUAAUACAUCGGAACGUGUCCUGUUGUGGGGGAUAACUAGUCGAAAGAUUAGCUAAUACCGCAUAAGGUCGGGAGACGAAAGCGGGGGAUCGCAAGACCUCGCGCGAUUGGAGCGGCCGAUGUCCGAUUAGCUAGUUGGUGGGGUAAAGGCCUACCAAGGCGACGAUCGGUAGCUGGUCUGAGAGGAUGAUCAGCCACACUGGGACUGAGACACGGCCCAAACUCCUACGGGAGGCAGCAGUGGGGAAUUUUGGACAAUGGGGGCAACCCUGAUCCAGCCAUGCCGCGUGAGUGAAGAAGGCCUUCGGGUUGUAAAGCUCUUUCGGUGGGAACGAAACGGGUGCGGCUAACACCUGCACUUAAUGACGGUACCUACAGAAGAAGCACCGGCUAACUACGUGCCAGCAGCCGCGGUAAUACGUAGGGUGCGAGCGUUAAUCGGAAUUACUGGGCGUAAAGCGUGCGCAGGCGGCGCGUUAAGACAGGUGUGAAAGCCCCGAGCUUAACUUGGGAAUUGCGCUUGUGACUGGCGUGCUGGAGUGUGGCAGAGGGAGGUGGAAUUCCACGUGUAGCAGUGAAAUGCGUAGAGAUGUGGAGGAACACCGAUGGCGAAGGCAGCCUCCUGGGCCAGCACUGACGCUCAUGCACGAAAGCGUGGGGAGCAAACAGGAUUAGAUACCCUGGUAGUCCACGCCCUAAACGAUGUCAACUG